rnacentral:lncRNA from 1 species
UGAGAAGUAAAAGUUUAGGGAGAAAAUAAAAAGGUUUGGGGAAGUAAAAUUUUUAGGGAAAGUAAAUAGGGGGAGUAAAAUUUUGGAGAGAAAAUAUUAAAAAAAUUGAGGGGGGUGGGUUUAGGGUAGAUGGGAGGUGGGAUGGGAGGGGUGUAAAAGUUUUAGGGGAAAAGUGGGAGGGAGUAAAAAUUUUCGGGGAAAGUAAAUGGGAGAGUAAAAUUUUGAAGGGAAAAUAUUAAAAAAAAAUUGGUGAGAAAUGGAUUUUGGGUAGAUGAGGAGGUUGGGAUGGGAGAAGAGUAAAAGUUUUGGGGGGAAAGAUGAAAUAAGUAAAAUUUUUAAGGAAAAAGUAAAAAGGUUUGGG